AGAUAACGAGAGACCGUACCCCAAACCGACACAGGUGGUCAGGUAGAGAAUACCAAGGCGCUUGAGAGAACUCUGGUGAAGGAACUAGGCAAAAUAGCACCGUAACUUCGGGAGAAGGUGCGCUGCUGACGGUGAAGGCCUUGCGCCGUAAGCUGUUGGCAGCCGAAGUAACCAGGCCGCUGCGACUGUUUAUUAAAAACACAGCACUCUGCAAACACGAAAGUGGACGUAUAGGGUGUGACGCCUGCCCGGUGCCGGAAGGUUAAUUGAUGGGGUCAGCCGCAAGGCGAAGCUCUUGAUCGAAGCCCCGGUAAACGGCGGCCGUAACCAUAACGGUCCUAAGGUAGCGAAAUUCCUUGUCGGGUAAGUUCCGACCUGCACGAAUGGCGUAACGAUGGCGGCGCUGUCUCCACCAGAGACUCAGUGAAAUCGAAAUCGCGGUGAAGAUGCCGUGUACCCGUGGCUAGACGGAAAGACCCCGUGAACCUUUACUGUAGCUUCACACUGGACUUUGACAUGAUCUGUGUAGGAUAGCUGGGAGGCUUUGAAGUGGUGACGCUAGUUGCCAUGGAGCCGUCCUUGAAAUACCAGCCUGGUCCUGUCGGGGUUCUAACGUCGACCUGUUAUCCAGGUUACGGACAGUGUGUGGUGGGCAGUUUGACUGGGGCGGUCUCCUCCCAAAGAGUAACGGAGGAGCACGAAGGUGCGCUAAUCACGGUCGGAAAUCGUGAGGUUAGUGUAAAGGCACAAGCGCGCUUGACUGCGAGACAGACAAGUCGAGCAGGUACGAAAGUAGGUCUUAGUGAUCCGGUGGUUCUGUAUGGAAGGGCCAUCGCUCAACGGAUAAAAGGUACUCCGGGGAUAACAGGCUGAUACCGCCCAAGAGUUCAUAUCGACGGCGGUGUUUGGCACCUCGAUGUCGGCUCAUCACAUCCUGGGGCUGAAGCCGGUCCCAAGGGUAUGGCUGUUCGCCAUUUAAAGUGGUACGCGAGCUGGGUUUAGAACGUCGUGAGACAGUUCGGUCCCUAUCUGCCAUGGGCGUUGGAGAUUUGAGAAGAGUUGCUCCUAGUACGAGAGGACCGGAGUGAACGAACCUCUGGUGUACCGGUUGUCACGCCAGCGGCAUUGCCGGGUAGCUAAGUUCGGACGGGAUAACCGCUGAAAGCAUCUAAGCGGGAAGCCUCCUUCAAGAUGAGAUCUCCCUGGAGCUUUAAGCUCCCUGAAGGGCCGUCGAAGACUACGACGUUGAUAGGCGAGGUGUGGAAGCGUUGUGAGACGUUGAGCUGACUCGUACUAAUUGCCCGUGCGGCUUGACC
rnacentral:rRNA from 1 species